ACCAUUCGUGCACGUCCUAGACGUGAGCUCCGUGCAAAACAAAAAAAUAAAUAACGGGGAGGUGGGAGGGGCGGAGAGAGUGACCCGAAAUUAACGAGCCAGGCGCCCCGCGAACAUCUUUCCCGCCCCCAAAACCAAGGCUGCUCUAACAAAAUGCCACAGACUGCUGCUGCUGCUGCUAAGUCACUUCAGUCGUGUCGGACUCUGUGAGAUCCCAUUGAUGGCCUCCCACCAGGCUCCCCUGUCCCUGGGAUUCUCCACGCAAGAACACUGGAGUGGGUUGCCAUUUCCUUCUCCAAUGCAUGAAAGUGAAAAGUGAAACUGAAGUCGCUCAGUCGUGUCUGACUCUUCGAGACCCCAUGGACUGCAGUCCACCAGGCUCCUCCAUCCAUGGGAUUUUCCAGGCAAGAAUACUGGAGUGGGGUGCCAUUGCCUUCUCCGCCUUUUGACCUAGCCACCUCCCAAAGGCCCCCACUUCCUAAUACUAUCACCGAAAGGGGUAGGAUUUCAACAUAUGAAUUUGGGGACACAAACGUUCAGACCAUAGCAGUGUUCUUUUGAUCACACGUAUACUAAUUGUAACUGUAACCCAGUUCAGAAGAAAUUUUACAAUUAGAACAUCAUGGUCAGAAGAAUUUGCCUUAAAUCCAAGCAUAUACAUAUACAUAUUAAUAUAUAUCUUUAUUGCAGAGAACAAUGAUAUGAGUGAUCAAAAAAGACUUUAAAGCAUAACAUACUAUAUUAAGACACUUCAGGAGAGAUUGAAUGAAAUGAAAGAACAGAUUAAAGAAAAGGAAAUAAGGCAAAGCUUGAGACAAAGAAAAACUUGUUUAUGUGUAUUUCAAAUGAAUGAUGGUGGUGAAGACUGAGGCUUAUACUUAUAUUUAAAAGUGGUAUAGCAGUUAUUUUCAUGGGUCAGCAUUUACCAUAUACCAGACAGUGCAUUCUUUGUGACUAUUUAAGGUGAUGGAAAACUUUAGAAGUCAACUUAAUGUAUAAGUAACUAUGGAGUUUCUCUAAAAACAUUUGAUGCAUGAGAUCAAG
ensembl:lncRNA